ACACUUGUGACACUGCACGAAGGGUGUGA
rnacentral:sRNA from 1 species